AGUGAACGCUGGCGGCAGGCCUAACACAUGCAAGUCGAACGGAAGGACCGGAAGAUGUUGCUUUUACGGGUGGCGAGUGGCGGACGAGUAAGGGAUACAUCUGCCUCUAAUUUUUCGGGGAGGACAACGUAGUGAGGCUUAUACUAAUACCGAAUACCUCCUACGGGGUGGAGCAUGGGAACUUCGGGCCUUUGGCGAUUGACUGAGCCGGUGUCGGAUUGGCUAGUUGGCGGGGUAAUGGCCCAGCUAGGCGAGGAACCGGAGCUGGUCGGAGAGGCGGAUCAGCGACACUGGAAGUGAGACACGGUCCAGAGUCCUACGGGAGGCAGCAGUGGGGAAUAGUGGGCAAUGGGCGCAAGCCUGAUCCAGCCAUACCGAGUGUGAGAAGAAAGCCUUCGGGUCGUAAAGCCCUUUUGUGGGGAAAGAAAAGCAGUAGGCUAAGACCACGCGGGUGUGACGGUACCCAGAGAAGAAGCACCGGCUAACUUCGUG
rnacentral:rRNA from 1 species